AGGCUGGGAGCUGGAAUGAGUGGAGGGGGUGCCUGUGGGCCCCACAAGCUUGCACUCCGCCACCAGGGGGGUUGGUGGCGGUGGCAGGGCUUGUGGCCCACUGGUGUGGCCCCCAGGCCAGCUCUUAGGCCGAGUAAUUUCCAAAAAUUUCAGAAAAAAUCAUACAAAAUUUUCAGGAUCAUCGGAGAACUUUUAUUUUCGAGGUAUUUUUCUCCGGGACGCUAAAACAGAAAACAGGAAAAAUUAAACUAAUUCUAUCA
rnacentral:lncRNA from 1 species